AAUAUAACCACUAUCCCUAGACUAUUAUUGCAAAUGAUUAAUACAUGCACUAAAUAUUGCAUUCUACAAAUUUAUGACUUUUGAAAACGAAUGUUUUGCCUGAAUUUUACAUUAUGUCCUGAGUUUCAAAUAAAGGUUACACCAAUUUAAAAAAUAAAUAAAAAUUAAAUAAUAAGAAUAUAGAAGUAAAGGAAGUGAAGAAAUGUGCCCUAUCAAUAGAUAAAUCCAAUAAAUUAGGAAAAUCCAUUUCUAUCAUGACUGCCCUGGCAAGCAUUUGUCAUGAAUGGAUUUAAAAGGAUUAUAGAUUGCAGAAUAUCAAUUGGUUACCCCUGCUGUGCCGGUUGGUUAACAGCUUGGGUAAGCCAACAGCCAAGCUAAAUAUACAGGUUUAUUCACUCAAGUCUUAGUGGCUCUGUACUAAACAGGGCAAAACCAUUCUUCUGCUUAUAGGCCCAUUAAGACUUAAAUGUCCAGACAUAGUUCACACUAUUAAACAAUGUCCAGACUUU